rnacentral:tRNA from 1 species
GCCGUGGUAGCUCAUGUAGUAGAGCGCAAUUCUGAAAAAAUUGAGGUAGCCAGUGCAAGUCUGGCCCACGGCA